CCUACGGGAUGCACCAGUGGGGAAUAUUGCACAAUGGGCGCAAGCCUGAUGCAGCCAUGCCGCGUGUGUGAAGAAGGCCUUCGGAUUGUAAAGCACUUUCAGCGGGGAGGAAGGCGGUGAGGUUAAUAACCUCAUCGAUUGACGUUACCCGCAGAAGAAGCACCGGCUAACUCCGUGCCAGCAGCCGCGGUAUACGGAGGGUGCAAGCGUUAAUCGGAAUUACUGGGCGUAAAGCGCACGCAGGCGGUCUGUCAAGUCGGAUGUGAAAUCCCCGGGCUCAACCUGGGAACUGCAUUCGAAACUGGCAGGCUAGAGUCUUGUAGAGGGGGGUAGAAUUCCAGGUGUAGCGGUGAAAUGCGUAGAGAUCUGGAGGAAUACCGGUGGCGAAGGCGGCCCCCUGGACAAGGACUGACGCUCAGGUGCGAAAGCGUGGGGAGCAAACAGGAUUAGAUACCCUUGUAGUC
rnacentral:rRNA from 1 species